rnacentral:rRNA from 1 species
AAAUUGAAGAGUUUGAUCAUGGCUCAGAUUGAACGCUGGCGGCAGGCCUAACACAUGCAAGUCGAACGGUAACAGGAAACAGCUUGCUGUUUCGCUGACGAGUGGCGGACGGGUGAGUAAUGUCUGGGAAACUGCCUGAUGGAGGGGGAUAACUACUGGAAACGGUAGCUAAUACCGCAUAACGUCGCAAGACCAAAGAGGGGGACCUUCGGGCCUCUUGCCAUCGGAUGUGCCCAGAUGGGAUUAGCUAGUAG